UCCCUGGUGGCUCAGCUGGUAAAAGUGUCUGCCUACAAUGCGGGAGACCCGGGUUUGAUCCCUGGAUGGGGAA
rnacentral:tRNA from 1 species